AUUGAACGCUGGCGGCAGGCCUAACACAUGCAAGUCGAACGAGUGGCGGACGGGUGAGUAAUGUCUGGGAAACUGCCCGAUGGAGGGGGCUAACUACUGGAAACGGUAGCUAAUACCGCAUACCAUCGGAUGUGCCCCGAUGGGAUUAGCUAGUGGGGGGGGUAAAGGCUCACCUAGGGGACGAUCCCUAGCGGGUCUGAGAGGAUGACCGGCCACACUGGGACUGAGACACGGUCCAGACGCCUACGGGAGGCAGCAGUGGGGAAUAUUGCACAAUGGGCGCAAGCAUGAUGCAGCCAUGCCGCGUGUAUGAAGAAGGCCUUCGGUUUGUAAAGUACUUUUAGCAGGGAAGCGGUACCUGCAGAAUAAGCACCGGCUAACUCCGUGCCAGCAGCCGCGGUAAUAC
rnacentral:rRNA from 1 species